rnacentral:rRNA from 1 species
AAUGGCCGCGGUAACUUGACCGUGCAAAGGUAGCAUAAUUAUUAGUCUUUUAAUUGAAGGCUUGUAUGAAUGAUUGGAUGAAAAAUAUACUUUAUUGAUAAAAUAGAUUGAAAUUAUCAUUUAAGUUAAAAUUCUUAAAUAUAUGAGUGGGACGAGAAGACCCUAUAGAGUUUAAUCUUUUUUUAUAUAUUAACAUUAAAGAAUAAAUAUUUUUAUGAUAUAAAAAAAUUUUUUGUUGGGGUGAUAUUAAAAAUUAUUUAACUUUUAAUUAAUAUUUCAUUAAUAAAUGUUAAAUUGAUCCAGUUUUUUGAUUACAAGAUAAAAUUACCUUAGGGAUAACAGCGUUAUUAAUUUGGAGAGUUCAAAUCGAUAAAUUAGUUUGCGACCUCGAUGUUGGAUUAAGAAAAUUUUUUGGAGUAGAUUUUAAAAUAUUAGGUCUGUUCGACCUUUAAAUUCUUACG